rnacentral:rRNA from 1 species
GGUUAAGCGACUAAGCGUACACGGUGGAUGCCCUGGCAGUCAGAGGCGAUGAAGGACGUGCUAAUCUGCGAAAAGCGCCGGCGAGGUGAUAUGAACCUUUGACCCGGCGAUGUCCGAAUGGGGAAACCCAGUGUGAUUCGUCACACUAUCGUUAACUGAAUACAUAGGUUAACGAGGCGAACCGGGGGAACUGAAACAUCUAAGUACCCCGAGGAAAAGAAAUCAACCGAGAUUCCCCCAGUAGCGGCGAGCGAACGGGGAGCAGCCCGGAGUCUGAAUCAGCUUGUGUGUUAGUGGAACGGUCUGGAAAGUCCGACGGUACAGGGUGAUAGUCCCGUACACGAAAAUGCACAGGUUGUGAACUCGAAGAGUAGGGCGGGACACGUGGUAUCCUGUCUGAAUAUGGGGGGACCAUCCUCCAAGGCUAAAUACUCCUGACUGACCGAUAGUGAACCAGUACCGUGAGGGAAAGGCGAAAAGAACCCCGGCGAGGGGAGUGAAAAAGAACCUGAAACCGUGUACGUACAAGCAGUGGGAGCCUACUUGUUAGGUGACUGCGUACCUUUUGUAUAAUGGGUCAGCGACUUAUAUUCUGUAGCAAGGUUAACCGUAUAGGGGAGCCGAAGGGAAACCGAGUCUUAACUGGGCGUUAAGUUGCAGGGUAUAGACCCGAAACCCGGUGAUCUAGCCAUGGGCAGGUUGAAGGUUGGGUAACACUAACUGGAGGACCGAACCGACUAAUGUUGAAAAAUUAGCGGAUGACCUGUGGCUGGGGGUGAAAGGCCAAUCAAACCGGGAGAUAGCUGGUUCUCCCCGAAAGCUAUUUAGGUAGCGCCUCGUGAAUUCAUCUUCGGGGGUAGAGCACUGUUUCGGCUAGGGGGCCAUCCCGGCUUACCAACCCGAUGCAAACUACGAAUACCGAAGAAUGUUAUCACGGGAGACACACGGCGGGUGCUAACGUCCGUCGUGAAGAGGGAAACAACCCAGACCGCCAGCUAAGGUCCCAAAGUCAUGGUUAAGUGGGAAACGAUGUGGGAAGGCACAGACAGCCAGGAUGUUGGCUUAGAAGCAGCCAUCAUUUAAAGAAAGCGUAAUAGCUCACUGGUCGAGUCGGCCUGCGCGGAAGAUGUAACGGGGCUAAACCAUGCACCGAAGCUGCGGCAGCGACGCUUAUGCGUUGUUGGGUAGGGGAGCGUUCUGUAAGCCGUUGAAGGUGGCCUGUGAGGGUUGCUGGAGGUAUCAGAAGUGCGAAUGCUGACAUAAGUAACGAUAAAGCGGGUGAAAAGCCCGCUCGCCGGAAGACCAAGGGUUCCUGUCCAACGUUAAUCGGGGCAGGGUGAGUCGACCCCUAAGGCGAGGCCGAAAGGCGUAGUCGAUGGGAAACAGGUUAAUAUUCCUGUACUUGGUGUUACUGCGAAGGGGGGACGGAGAAGGCUAUGUUAGCCGGGCGACGGUUGUCCCGGUUUAAGCAUGUAGGCGGAGGUUCCAGGUAAAUCCGGUACCUUUUUAACGCUGAGGUGUGAUGACGAGGCACUACGGUGCUGAAGUAACAAAUGCCCUGCUUCCAGGAAAAGCCUCUAAGCAUCAGGUAACACGAAAUCGUACCCCAAACCGACACAGGUGGUCAGGUAGAGAAUACCAAGGCGCUUGAGAGAACUCGGGUGAAGGAACUAGGCAAAAUGGUGCCGUAACUUCGGGAGAAGGCACGCUGAUAUGUAGGUGAAGCCCCUGCGGGUGGAGCUGAAAUCAGUCGAAGAUACCAGCUGGCUGCAACUGUUUAUUAAAAACACAGCACUGUGCAAACACGAAAGUGGACGUAUACGGUGUGACGCCUGCCCGGUGCCGGAAGGUUAAUUGAUGGGGUUAGCGGUAACGCGAAGCUCUUGAUCGAAGCCCCGGUAAACGGCGGCCGUAACUAUAACGGUCCUAAGGUAGCGAAAUUCCUUGUCGGGUAAGUUCCGACCUGCACGAAUGGCGUAAUGAUGGCCAGGCUGUCUCCACCCGAGACUCAGUGAAAUUGAACUCGCUGUGAAGAUGCAGUGUACCCGCGGCAAGACGGAAAGACCCCGUGAACCUUUACUAUAGCUUGACACUGAACACUGGUCCUUGAUGUGUAGGAUAGGUGGGAGGCUUUGAAGCGUGGACGCCAGUCUGCGUGGAGCCAACCUUGAAAUACCACCCUUUAAUGGCUGGUGUUCUAACGUAGACCCGUGAUCCGGGUUGCGGACAGUGUCUGGUGGGUAGUUUGACUGGGGCGGUCUCCUCCCAAAGAGUAACGGAGGAGCACGAAGGUUAGCUAAUCCUGGUCGGACAUCAGGAGGUUAGUGCAAUGGCAUAAGCUAGCUUGACUGCGAGAGUGACGGCUCGAGCAGGUGCGAAAGCAGGUCAUAGUGAUCCGGUGGUUCUGAAUGGAAGGGCCAUCGCUCAACGGAUAAAAGGUACUCCGGGGAUAACAGGCUGAUACCGCCCAAGAGUUCAUAUCGACGGCGGUGUUUGGCACCUCGAUGUCGGCUCAUCACAUCCUGGGGCUGAAGUAGGUCCCAAGGGUAUGGCUGUUCGCCAUUUAAAGUGGUACGCGAGCUGGGUUUAGAACGUCGUGAGACAGUUCGGUCCCUAUCUGCCGUGGGCGCUGGAGAAUUGAGGGGGGCUGCUCCUAGUACGAGAGGACCGGAGUGGACGCAUCACUGGUGUUCGGGUUGUCAUGCCAAUGGCACUGCCCGGUAGCUAAAUGCGGAAGAGAUAAGUGCUGAAAGCAUCUAAGCACGAAACUUGCCCCGAGAUGAGUUCUCCCUGAGACUAUAAGUCUCCUGAAGGAACGUUGAAGACGACGACGUUGAUAGGUCAGGUGUGUAAGCGCAGCGAUGCGUUGAGCUAACCGAUACUAAUGAACCGUGAGGCUUAACCUU